CCUACGGGUGGCAGCAGUGAGGAAUAUUGGUCAAUGGGCGGGAGCCUGAACCAGCCAAGCCGCGUGAGGGAAGAAGGUACAGCGUAUCGUAAACCUCUUUUGUCAGGGAACAAAGGCGGGGACUAGUCCCCGUAUGAGGGUACCUGAAGAAAAAGCAUCGGCUAACUCCGUGCCAGCAGCCGCGGUAAUACGGAGGAUGCGAGCGUUUUCCGGAUUUAUUGGGUUUAACGGGUGCGCAGGCGGCCUGUUAAGUCAGCGGUAAAAGCCCGGGGCUAAACCCCGGCGCGCCAUUGAAACUGGCGGGCUGGAGUUGGAGAGAAGGACGCGGAAUGCGCGGUGUAGCGGUGAAAUGCUGAGAUAUCGCGCAGAACCCCGAUUGCGAAGGCAGCGUGCCGGCUCCACACUGACGCUGAGGCACGAAAGCGUGGGGAUCGAACAGGAUUAGAUACCCCUGUAGUC
rnacentral:rRNA from 1 species